AGCAGCCGCGGUAAUUCCAGCUCCAAUAGCGUAUAUUAAAGUUGUUGCAGUUAAAAGCUCGUAGUUGAAUUUCGGGAUCAAUUAAUCGGUCGUGCCUCUGGUACGCACUGGUUUUAUUGGUUUCUCCCUUCUGACGAACCAGGAUGUCAUUAAUUUGGUGUCUUGGAGAAUCAGGACUGUUACUUUAGAAAAAUUAGAGUGUUUAAAGCAGGCUAACGCUUGAAUACAUUAGCAUGGAAUAAUGAAAUAGGACGUUUGAUCCUUAUUUU
rnacentral:misc_RNA from 1 species